GGUGAGGGCGUGUGCCAUGGGAGAGGAAUCCUGAAGUAGGAGAAAGAGCAGGACAAUUGGCCUUUUAUGACCCGGGGCGAGUGUCUCAUCUUGGCCGUUCCCAAGCCACCUACCACCCUGGGCCUCACUGGAUGGAUGUGAAGACUGGCCUCAGUUUGGAGCAAACUGUAAAGUAUCAGAUUGAACGGCUCUCAUCCAGUUGCUGAGUGAAUGGAAUGGGCCGGUCUUCAUGGAGCUUACAGCUUGGCCUCCACCAGUGCCACAGAGAUGGUUGCAAGACAGAGCUGCCAGAAGUUGUUGCAAGAGCUCCCUAUUGGGGAGACCAAAUCUAGGAACCAGUUAUUUGAGAUGAGGCCCUGUGUCCCAGAGGAAUCAUCAGACAGGUCAAACUACUAAUUAAAGACUCAUU
rnacentral:lncRNA from 1 species